rnacentral:rRNA from 1 species
UACGUAGGUGGCAAGCGUUGUCCGGAUUUACUGGGCGUAAAGAGCGCGCAGGCGGUCGUUCAAGUCGCGUGUGAAAGCCCCCGGCUCAACUGGGGAGGGUCACGCGAUACUGAUCGACUCGAAGGCAGGAGAGGGUAGUGGAAUUCCCGGUGUAGUGGUGAAAUGCGUAGAUAUCGGGAGGAACACCAGUGGCGAAGGCGACUUACUGGACACAUAUUGACGCUGAGGUGCGAAAGCGUGGGGAGCAAACAGGG